GCAGCUUGGGGAGAGGAGCAAGAAUCCCCUUUUAGAAAGCAAUUACACAUGCAAGUCACAUCAGUUCAAGCCAAACUGUGAGCCGGAUCCCGUAGCUGAUGUAAGUCCAUAAACCAGCUCUGCAACACUCCAGGAGGGAGAAAGAUAAUAGAGGAUUUCUAGGCCAGGUCCUCGGCGGAUGUGAAUGGGUAUCAGAAUGGUGAAGAAAGUGCAGUGCACCGAUUUCCACCAGAGGAGGAUCCGGCCUGUUUAAUCUGAUUGGAACUACCACUCAACUUCAAAGCAUAAUGGACCACACAGCUGUGUUUGCAGAGUCCCUGAGCUGGGUCCAGGUGCUCUUUGGGGCAUGGAUUACAGAGCUGCUGGAGGACUACCUGGCUCCAGCACAGAACCUGAGGGCCAGAUGCAGCAGGGGCCAGCACCGUGGGAGAUGCCUGCAAGUCAAAACAGGCAAGAAAGUCAAAACUAGCAUCAAAUAAAGGUGUGCUAGGCACUGCACCCUGCCACCCCACACACCGGAGGGCACUGCCAUUGCCUUGAAGAGCUUAGAAUCUCAGCACUUGCCCCAGUGACAACUUGAUGGACAUCACCAAAUGCAUUUCACGUGGGCAACCAAUUGGGUCACUCAUUUGUCCUGGUCUGGAUUUGAGUGGACACCCUAUAGGGGCAUCAUAUACCCAAUCUGCAAACCAGCCCCAGUUUUUCUAUUUAUCUUAAUGCAGAAGACAUUCUAAAAAAAACGACAGCUGUUUCAGUGAUCGACCUUUUCUGAGAAACAUUCAUUGAUGCCUGGAGAAUAAAUUAUAGGGCGCAGUCUUGCCUGGAAUGGGGAUGGGAUGCGGGGGGUAAGCUGGUGGGCCUUUUGGAUCACUGGUUUCUAUGAUGAUUUUACAGUCCUUUCUCUGCGAAGGUCACCAGUGUAUUGCAGAACAUUCAUCCAACCAUCCAUAGUGACACCUUGGUGUUCGUCAUUUAGAUUUCUGCAACACAUUUUUGCUGACCCUGUCUUUCUCCCCAUGUUGAAGCUAAUUUCUCCAUUGAUUGGUUCUUACUUGGUUUAAAAAUAGCUGGUUUGUAGCACAGAAGGGUAAAAUUAGAAGCUUGCACUUGCUUUUACACAGAUUUACAGCUGUUACAGAAGAGAGAUGUCGGGUCUCUCAUAGCCUCACUGCUUGCACUAAACUGCUACCUUGUUCCGGAGCCUUCUCCACAAGUCCUGAUGACCUGACUCUUCCUAUUAGCUUCUUUCAUCUUAAGACUGAUCUUAGAACAUACUCUGACUCUUUGUACCUGGGGGGAACACGCAGCACCCCAAUGUUCAUCCUUGUAAAAUGAUUGUGUGGUAUCCAGUGCGAAGUUUGUCAUGUCGGGUGUCUUCGGAAGGCUCAUAAUGCACUGAGCAUUGUUGUUACAGUAAUGUUAUAGGUUUAUAAUUUCAUGUAUGUAGUUAUGAGGCUGAAAAUGUAUCCUCAUGGCUUAAAAUAAGCCUAGGCAAAAACUCUCCAAGAGCAGAGAGUCAGUUCACACCUCAUCAGGGCAGGUAUGGGACAAACCCAGCCCAGCCUCACAGGAACAAAGGACGCUGGCCUAGGCAGCAACAAAAGGAUCUGUGGGACUCUCAAGUGAGUCACCCCCCUUCCUUUGGCCAGUUUGGGACUGCGAUGAGGUAAUGUUCACCUGACUCUGAAGGGAGGAGGGGGCAAAGCCAAGAGAGAAGAAAGGACAUGAUAAAAGGGAGAGACUUUGCUAUGCUCUUUCUCUCUCUUUCUCUUACAUCUACAGACACCACACGAAGUGACUGAAGCGCUGAUCAAAGGGGAGAGCCUGGCUGAAGAGCAACUAGCCAGCCUGUGGCGAGAAGCAUCUAAGUCUGUAAAGACAUUGAAAGUGUUAAGAUCAGCUUAGACUGCAUUUUGCUUUUAUUUCAUUUCACCAAAUCUGACUUAUGUUUUGACUUAUAGUCACUUAAAAUCUAUCUUUCAUAGUUAAUAAAUCUGUUUGUUUAUUCUACCUGAA